rnacentral:rRNA from 1 species
GCCGUCUAAGUUUUCGGUUAAAUCUAUGCGCUUAACGUAUAGGCCGCCGAAAAUACUGGACAGCUAGGGAGUGGGAGAGGUACACGGUACUCAAUAGGAAGGGGUAAAAUCCUUUGAUCUAUUGAUGACCACCUGUGGCGAAGGCGGUGUACCAGAACACGUUCGACGGUGAGGGAUGAAAGCUGGGGGAGCAAACCGGAUUAGAUACCCGGGUAGUCCCAGCUGUAAACGAUGCAGACUCGGUGAUGCAUUGGCUUGUGGCCAAUGCAGUGCCGCAGGGAAGCCGUUAAGUCUGCCGCCUGGGAAGUACGUACGCAAGUAUGAAACUUAAAGGAAUUGGCGGGGGAGCACCACAAGGGGUGAAGCCUGCGGUUCAAUUGGAGUCAACGCCAGAAACCUUACCCGGGGCGACAGCAGAAUGAAGGUCAAGCUGAAGACUUUACCAGACAAGCUGAGAGGUGGUGCAUGGCCGUCGCCAGCUCGUGCCGUGAGAUGUCCUGUUAAGUCAGGUAACGAGCGAGACCCUGCGUCUAGUUGCUACCAUUACUCUCUGGAGUAGUGGAGCGAAUUAGACGGACCGCCACAGUUAAUGUGGAGGAAGGAAGGGGCCACGGCAGGUCAGUAUGCCCCGAAACCCUGGGGCCACACGCGGGCUGCAAUGGUAUUGACAAUGUGUUCCGAAUCCGAAAGGAGGAGGCAAUCAUCAAACGAUACCUCAGUUAUGACUGAGGGCUGUAACUCGCCCUCACGAAUAUGGAAUCCCUAG